CAGCCGCCGCGGUAAUACGAAGGGGGCUAGCGUUGUUCGGAUUUACUGAGCGUAAAGCGCACGUAGGCGGACUUUUAAGUCAGGGGUGAAAUCACGGGGCUCAACCCCGGAACUGCCUUUGAUACUGGAAGUCUUGAGUAUGGUAGAGGUGAGUGGAAUUCCGAGUGUAGAGGUGAAAUUCGUAGAUAUUCGGAGGAACACCAGUGGCGAAGGCGGCUCACUGGACCAUUACUGACGCUGAGGUGCGAAAGCGUGGGGAGCAAACAGGAUUAGAGACCCCAGUAGUCCCUGUCUCUUAUAC
rnacentral:rRNA from 1 species